rnacentral:rRNA from 2 species
UGGGGAAUAUUGCGCAAUGGGCGAAAGCCUGACGCAGCAAUGCCGCGUGAGUGAAGAAGGCCUUCGGGUCGUAAAGCUCUUUAUCUGAGGGAAGAUGAUGACGGUACCUCAGGAAGAAGCACCGGCUAACUACGUGCCAGCAGCCGCGGUGAUACGUAGGGUGCAAGCGUUGUUCGGAAUCACUGGGCGUAAAGGGCGUGUAGGCGGGAUGGUCAGCUAGAGGUGAAAUCCCGGGGCUCAACCCCGGAAAGUCUUUUAGAACUGCCGUUCUUGAGUUGGUCAGAGGUUAGCGGAAUUCCUGGUGUAGCGGUGAAAUGCGUAGAUAUCAGGAGGAACACCGGUGGCGAAAGCGGCUAACUGGGACCAAUCUGACGCUGAGGCGCGAAAGCGUGGGGAGCAAACAGG